rnacentral:miRNA from 1 species
UGUGUGUGUGUGUGUGUGUGUGUGUAUGUGUGUAUGCACAUGUGUGUGUACACACACACACACACACACU